AAUAUUGACUNNNNNNNNNNNNNNNNNNNNAAUUAUUGGGCGUAAAGAGCUCGUAGGCGGCUUGUCGCGUCUGCUGUGAAAACCCGAGGCUCAACCUCGGGCCUGCAGUGGGUACGGGCAAGCUAGAGUGCGGUAGGGGAGAUUGGAAUUCCUGGUGUAGCGGUGGAAUGCGCAGAUAUCAGGAGGAACACCGAUGGCGAAGGCAGAUCUCUGGGCCGUAACUGACGCUGAGGAGCGAAAGCAUGGGGAGCGAACAGGAUUAGAUACCCUGGUAGUCCAUGCCGUAAACGUUGGGAACUAGAUGUAGGGACUGUUCCACGGUUUCUGUGUCGUAGCUAACGCAUUAAGUUCCCCGCCUGGGGAGUACGGCCGCAAGGCUAAAACUCAAAGGAAUUGACGGGGGCCCGCACAAGCGGCGGAGCAUGCGGAUUAAUUCGAUGCAACGCGAAGAACCUUACCAAGGCUUGACAUAGCCGAGAACGCUGUAGAGAUACAGAACUCUUUGGACACUCGGUUACAGGUGGUGCAUGGUUGUCGUCAGCUCGUGUCGUGAGAUGUUCGGUUAAGUCCGGCAACGAGCGCAACCCUCGUCCUAUGUUGCCAGCACGUUAUGGUGGGAACUCAUGGGAUACUGCCGUGGUCAACACGGAGGAAGGUGGGGAUGACGUCAAAUCAUCAUGCCCCUUAUGUCUUGGGCUUCACGCAUGCUACAAUGGCCGAUACAAAGGGCUGCGAUACCGCGAGGUGGAGCGAAUCCCAAAAAGUCGGUCUCAGUUCGGAUUGGGGUCUGCAACUCGACCCCAUGAAGUCGGAGUCGCUAGUAAUCGCAGAUCAGCAACGCUGCGGUGAAUACGUUCCCGGGCCUUGUACACACCGCCCGUCAAGUCAUGAAAGUCGGUAACACCCGAAGCCGGUGGCCUAACCUUUUUGGAGGGAGCCGUCGAAGGUGGGACUGGUGAUUAGGCUAAGUCGUACAAGGUAGCCGUACCGGAAGGUGCGGCUGGAUCACCUCCUUU
rfam:Caenorhabditis tropicalis strain JT1373 unplaced genomic scaffold Scaffold554, whole genome shotgun sequence.